AGUCCUAUAACUCAGUGGUAGAGUGUCGUUCUUAUAUGGAGAAUCUAGGUGAUUCUAGCUUCAUAUGGAAGAAAUGCGAAGGUCGCGGGUUCGAAUCCCGUUUGGACUA